rnacentral:rRNA from 1 species
AGUAGCGGCGAGUGAAGCGGCAAGAGCUCAGAUUUGAAAUCGUGUUUCGGCACGAGUUGUAGAGUGUAGGCGGGAGUCUCUGUGGAGCGCGGUGUCCAAGUCCCUUGGAACAGGGUGCCUGGGGAGGGUGAGAGCCCCGUAGGGUGCUGCGCGAAGCUUUUGAGGCCCUGCUGACGAGUCGAGUUGUUUGGGAAUGCAGCUCCAAGCGGGUGGUAAAUUCCAUCUAAGGCUAAAUAUUGGCGAGAGACCGAUAGCGAACAAGUACUGUGAAGGAAAGAUGAAAAGCACUUUGAAAAGAGAGUGAAACAGCACGUGAAAUUGUUGAAAGGGAAGGGUAUUGGGCUCGACAUGGGGGGUGCGCACCGCUGUCUCUUGUAGGCGGCGCUCUGGGCGCCCUCUGGGCCAGCAUCGGUUCCUGCUGCGGGAGAAGGGGCUCCGGAAAGUGGCUCUUCGGAGUGUUAUAGCCGGGGCCAGAUGCCGCGUGUGGGGACCGAGGACUGCGGCUUCUGUCUCGGAUGCUGGCAUACGGCGCAAUACCGCCCGUCUUG